AAUUUUGGACAAUUGGGGAAACCCUGAUCCAGCCAUCCCGCGUGUAAGAUGAAGGCCUUCGGUUUGUAAAGUACUUUUGGCAGAGAAGAAAAGGUAUCUCCUAAUACUAGAUACUGCUGACGGUCUCUGCAGAAUAAGUACCGGCUAACUACGUGCUAGCAGCCGUGGUAAUACGUAGGGUUCAAGCGGUAAUCGGAAUUACUGGGCGUAAAGCGUGUGUAGGCGGUUCGGAAAGAAAAGUGUGAAAUCCCAGGGCUCAACCUUGGAACUGCAUUUUUAACUGCCGAGCUAGAGUAUGUCAGAGGGGGGUAGAAUUCAACGUGUAGCAGUGAAAUGCGUAGAUAUGUGGAGGAAUACCGAUGGCGAAGGCAGCCCCCUGGGAUAAUACUGACGCUCAGACACGAAAGCGUGGGGAGCAAACA
rnacentral:rRNA from 1 species